AGGCGAUUGUUGGGGAGACGUUUAUAAAGACUGGAAUGAGAGAGAGAGAGAGAGAGAGAGAGAGAGAGAGAGAGAGAGAGAGAGAUAAUCACCUCACGCAAAGAAACAAGCAUUAUAGAAGAUUUCCUGGACUUCAUACAACACACAGACACCAUGUUGAGAAAGUGUUCUACUCCACCACUCGUCCUCUCGGUCACGCUACUCUUCUCCUUCGUGUCAGCAUCAUCAUCAGUACGCAACACCACCCAGAGAACAGGCUCUCCCAAACCUCGUUUAGUCGGCCAAGGUGAUGACUACAAUAAUUUCUAUGAUGAUCCUUUUACCACGAAAAAGCCCCAAAAGUCCGCAGGGUCUCCACCUCCGCUCUGCGAUAUCUGCAAGGAACAGCCGGAAUCGUGUCAGAAGCUCGCCCAAACAUUGUUCUGCUCCUGCCCUGGGAUCAGCGGCCCCUUCCAACGCCCGGACCCUCCUACUGUCCACAGUUUGUCUGUUGAAAGUAAUGGAGUGGUGGUGUUCCGGUGGUGCGCACCCGCCUCUACGGUCUUGUACUACCAGGUGUAUGUGGGGGGUAAAAAAACUGGACACGAGUUGGCGGAGAACCGGAGGAUGAUGAAGCUGGGGGAUGUAGCUCCAGGCACUGAGGUGUGUGUGGAGGCGGUGAACAAGGUGGGUUCCAGUGUCCCCGGGAAACACUCGUGCACAGUGUUUGAACCCAGCAACUCUGAGACCAGACUCAUCACCAAGCUGGCACUGAUCGGAGCGGCGGUGGUGCUGGUGCUGGUGAUCGCAUUGGUGCUGUUGCUCUGGUGGUGCAAAAGACACCGUAAUGCUCGAGCACAGACAGCAAACCGAGGAACCGCGAUGGUGCUCUGAGGAGAAAUAACCCAGAAGGAGGCUUAUAACUGCAGCUUGAAGGAAACUGUAGAGUUUUUUUAAUAAUGACAAAUACUGAGGAAAAAAGUUCUGACUCACUAAUAAAGUGGUGUGAGGCAGCAGGUUGAGGAAAUGUGGACUUCCCAUGGAAAAAGGUAAGACGUGUGGCAACACUCUCCGAGCAAAACCAAGUGUGUGUGUGUGUGUGAGAGUAUGAGUGUGUGUGAGUAAUGUACUGAGAAUGGACUUAAGCAACUGUUUUAAUGCACUUUAACCACAUUCUGAGGAACUCAUCAAUGCCAUUAACCACAAAGCACCACAUUUCCGUCAUCAGCACAUUUUACACAAGCUCACAGACCAGUUUAAAAAAAAAAGAUUCAACUCUGCUCGCACCAUCAAAAUGCCAAAGUUGUCUCAGUGAACAUGUCAUUUUCUUUUAUUUUGCAUUUAUUUCUUAAUAUUCUCAUGCUUUUCCAUCAUAUGAAUCUCUAUGGUCGCAUCUGUCCAGUUAUCUAAAUUGGGUCUCUCUUGUUUUUAACUAUUUAUAUGUAAUUGCUUUCUGACUGGCUGCCAAAAGCACAACCUAUCAGAUAUUUACUAUCUACUGAUACCAGACCUGGACACAGCCAAAAUACAGCAAUUUGCUUUCUAGAGGUACAUCUCAUCUAAAAAAUAUUUUUCCAGAACCUCCAGUAUUUAUAUCCAGUAUUCUCAAAUAUAUAAACAUUCCCAGAAUAUAUGGUAAUGGUUUGCUUAAUUAGAUUCACAGUUUUGCCAACCGUGAUUUUUUUGAAUCCCUGGAGAUGUUCGUGGCUAGUGAUAUGACAACCCGACAAAUAAAUCAACAUUAACCAGUCAGAGAACCAUUUUGCGAUGCUUUAGUGAUUUAAUGAGGAGUACAUUUUUACAAAGAAACAUGUAAAUGAUACAUUUAUUUGGUGAGGUUAUAUAAUAUAUUCAAUUUACAGUGAUCGAUUUCUUGUACAUCACCAAACAUGCGACU